GUGGCUGUAGCUCAGUGGUAGAGCCCCGGUUUGUGGUACCGGUUGUCGCGGGUUCGAUCCCCGUCAGCCACCCCA
rnacentral:tRNA from 1 species